rnacentral:rRNA from 1 species
UUAAGCAUAUCAAUAAGCGGAGGAAGAGAAACUAACAAGGAUUCCCUCAGUAACGGCGAGCGAAGUGGGAAGAGCUCGAGCCUGAAAUCGCUGGCAGUUGCUGUCAGCGAGUUGUGGCCGGGAGAGGCGACUAGGCCCUGACCGAGGCUGUCGAAGUUGACCUGGAAAGGCGCGUCAGAGAGGGUUAGAGCCCCGUGCACGACACCGUCGACCAGGGCCGCUACUGCCUUCGGAGAGUCGGGUUGUUUGGGAAUGCAGCCCAAAGUGGGUGGUAAACUCCAUCUAAAGCUAAAUACGGGCACGAGACCGAUAGCAAACAAGUACCGUGAGGGAAAGGUGAAAAGUACUUUGAAAAGAGAGUCAAAAAGACCGCGAAACCGUUAGGAGGGAACCGAAUGCAGCUGAAUUGGGUUUGCUCAAGCUCAGGAGCGACGUUGACGUGCGAUGCCGUACUGCAAAAGCCGAUAGGCUUUGCCUUCCGGCUGGCUGUCGACUCCUCUGCACUCUUGUGCAAAACCGGCCAACAAGGGUUGCUCGUGGCUGAGAAGGGCAGUUGGGUAGGUAGUUCCCCGUUCGCGUGGAAAACUUACAGCCAUCCGUCUUGGAGUCUUGCGAACGACCGAGGAAAAAAAAUUGUCAGUGUAGCGCCCCUUCGGGGGGGUUGUUUGGGCCGCCUCUGGUCGAUUGGGCACCGGGCUAGGGACUGCUCGCAGUGUCUGGCGACGGAUUGUCUGCUCGGGCGGGAGACCGGUCACAGGUUGCGCUGCAGUUGUUGGUGAUCGAAUGGCUGCAUCCGACCCGUCUU